CAGACCUAAGUCAAGGUAAUCCUCCUUUGAAACACUUUGGUAUUGCUCCUAGAUAGAUCAUAAUACAAAAAAUCAAUCAGAGCAUAGGGAGCCAUCUCAUUAUCUUUCCGUAAAGAAAAACUAUGGUGGACUAACUGAUCUUUAAAUCAUUUUAUGAAAGAGCCCAAUGCAAAAAAAUGCAUGUUGGGUCUUUGAAACAGUUCAAAUCAUUUCGAUAAUAAUCCGAGAUCGGAAGAGA